ACCAAAACAUGAAGCAAGAAGAGUAAGCAAAAAUGAUUUUUCUAGAGAGUCAGUGGCUGGUGUGAACUGAUAAAAUCCUUUUGCCGAAGUGGUCCUUGCGCGUGUGGCUUUGAACGAAGAAGUAGGAGCUGCCGGGUUCUCCCGUUAACGAGAUAGAGUAUGAACGUGUACUCGAAUGAGAUGGAACUUUGUUAGUUCUAAUAUGAGGUGGUACCGCGAAUUUUCGCCCUCUAA
rnacentral:ncRNA from 1 species